rnacentral:rRNA from 1 species
GCGACCCCAGGUCAGGCGGGACUACCCGCUGAAUUUAASCWUAUAAUUAACCGAAGGAAAAAAAACUUACAAGGAUUCCCCUAGUAACGCAAC